CCUGUAGCUCAGGGGAUAGAGCAACGGACUUCUAAUCCGUGGGCCGUAGGUUCGAUUCCUACCAGGC
rnacentral:tRNA from 1 species